rnacentral:miRNA from 1 species
UUCUGUAGCUCUUGGGACUGAAGA